GUUGGUUUUUUUCUGCAAGAUCGUAAAAUUCUCCUUCCUCUUUUGUGGUUUCGCCAUGGCUCGUGGUCCCCUGCUCAAAAAGAUUAAUGGGGUAACUGCAUCACCUUCUGGAUCUAAGCUGGAGAAAAGGUUUGCCAAGAUGCGUCUUUCCGAAAGUGGGAACAUUAAGAAGAAGAAGGAGAAGAAGAAGGCGGCAU